UACAGAGGUCUCGAGCGUUGUUCGGAUUCAUUGGGCGUAAAGGGUGCGUAGGUGGCGCCGUAAGUCGGGUGUGAAAUUUCGGAGCUUAACUCCGAAACUGCAUUCGAUACUGCGGUGCUUGAGGACUGGAGAGGAGACUGGAAUUCAUGGUGUAGCAGUGAAAUGCGUAGAGAUCAUGAGGAAGACCAGUGGCGAAGGCGGGUCUCUGGACAGUUCCUGACGCUGAGGCACGAAGGCCAGGGGAGCAAACGGG
rnacentral:rRNA from 1 species